GUGAGGAAUAUUGGUCAAUGGACGAGAGUCUGAACCAGCCAAGUCGCGUGAAGGAAGACGGUUCUAUGAAUUGUAAACUUCUUUUGUGCAGGAAUAAAGUGGGUUACGUGUAACCUUUUGUAUGUACUGUACGAAUAAGGAUCGGCUAACUCCGUGCCAGCAGCCGCGGUAAUACGGAGGAUCCGAGCGUUAUCCGGAUUUAUUGGGUUUAAAGGGUGCGUAGGUGGAUUGAUAAGUCAGCGGUGAAAGUUUGCAGCUUAACUGUAAAAUUGCAGUUGAAACUGUCGGUCUUGAGUGCAAAUGAGUUAGGCGGAAUGUGUUGUGUAGCGGUGAAAUGCUUAGAUAUAACACAGAACUCCGAUUGCGAAGGCAGCUUACUGGGAUGCAACUGACACUGAUGCACGAAAGCGUGGGUAUCAAACAGGAUUAGAUACCCUGGUAGUCC
rnacentral:rRNA from 1 species